AUUGAACGCUGGCGGCAUGCCUUACACAUGCAAGUCGAACGGCAGCACGGGUGCUUGCACCUGGUGGCGAGUGGCGAACGGGUGAGUAAUACAUCGGAACGUACCUUAUCGUGGGGGAUAACGCAGCGAAAGCUGUGCUAAUACCGCAUACGCCCUGAGGGGGAAAGCGGGGGAUCGCAAGACCUCGCGCGAUUAGAGCGGCCGAUGCCUGAUUAGCUUGUUGGUGGGGUAAAAGCCCACCAAGGCGACGAUCAGUAGCUGGUCUGAGAGGACGAUCAGCCACACUGGGACGGGGACACGGCCCAGACUCCUACGGGAGGCAGCAGUGGGGAAUUUUGGACAAUGGGGGCAACCCUGAUCCAGCAAUGCCGCGUGAGUGAAGAAGGCCUUCGGGUUGUAAAGCUCUUUUGUCAGGGAAGAAACACCGGCUCUAACACAGUCCGGGAAUGACGGUACCUGAAGAAUAAGCACCGGCUAACUACGUGCCAGCCGCCGCAGUAA
rnacentral:rRNA from 1 species